CGAAUAGGCCCAGACAGAACUCCGACACCGCCCCCUACGGUGCGGCACGAGAGGGCUAAGGGGCGGGGGCAUGUGCACCGGAAGCUGCCUCUGCCCACAACCAAGAUGGCUGAGGAGAGGGCGGAAGUGUCCGCACGUCGGGCCUCCGAGGCUUCUCUUUCUCCCCUGGCGGUCCGGCUCUCGAUGGUGGCGUGACGGGGGCGGGGGUGGCGGCGCGUUCUCCUCGGU
rnacentral:lncRNA from 1 species